rnacentral:rRNA from 1 species
AUGGACGAUGAGAGCUUUGUUGCGAAGGAAAGAACUGGAAACUAUACCAAUGGGGAGGAUGUGUUUAUAUGCACCGCAUGGAAGAAAGUCUCUCAAGGUGCAUCCGUUGGAAGCGACCAAAUGGUAAACACCGUUUGGCAACACAUCAAGGAUUACUUCCCUGACCACAACACAAGUGGUCACUUCCGUUCGAGCGACUCUCUUCGCCAACGUUUGUCCAUCAUCAACGCCGAAUGCCAAAAGUGGGUCGGUUGCUUGUCAAAUGUUGCUCGCAUGAACCCAAGUGGUUGCGGUGAUAGUGACUUGAAAAUGAUUGCCCAAGGAUUGUUUCGAGAGAGGAACAUGAAAGGUGAGAAGAAGAAAAGGAAAGGAAAAGCUUUCACUUUUCAUCAUUGCUUCAAAGAUCUCAAGGAUGAGGAGAAGUGGAAAACUAGAGAGACUUUUGAUGCUUCGAAAAAAAAGAGUGUGGUGAUUGAGGAUGAAGAAGAUGAUGCCAAGAAGAGGGUGGCGGCCGAGGAGAGGUUGGCGGCGGCCGAGGAGAGGAAGGUGGAUCUGGAGGAGAAAAAGGCCUCGGCCGAGGAGAUGAAGAUGGUCGAGGAGAAGGCACUCAAGUUUAUGUUCAUGAACAUAUCUAGUCUUGAUCCCAAGGCAAAGGCCUAUGUUGAACUAAGUGGGAGCAUGAACUUGGAGGGACACCACUCCACAAGGAACUGGCUAGAAAACUCUCCUAGCAAAUGA